rnacentral:siRNA from 1 species
CUCACUCGCCGCCUAAACUUC